CCUACGGGGGGCUGCAGUGGGGGAUAUUGCACAAUGGGGGAAACCCUGAUGCAGCGACGCCGCGUGGGCGAAGAAGUAUUUCGGUAUGUAAAGCCCUAUCAGCAGGGAAGAAGAAAUGACGGUACCUGAGUAAGAAGCACCGGCUAAAUACGUGCCAGCAGCCGCGGUAAUACGUAUGGUGCAAGCGUUAUCCGGAUUUACUGGGUGUAAAGGGAGCGCAGGCGGCACGGCAAGCCUGAUGUGAAAGCCCGCGGCCCAACAGCGGGACUGCAUUGGGAACUACCGGGCUGGAGUGCCGGAGAGGGAGGCGGAAUGCAUAGUGGAGCGGGGAAAUGCGUAGAGAGUAGGAGGAAGACCAGUGGCGAAGGCGGCCUACUGGACGGUGACUGACGCUGAGGCUCGAAAGCGUGGGGAGCAAACAGGAUGAGAGACCCUUGUAGUC
rnacentral:rRNA from 1 species